rnacentral:rRNA from 1 species
ACUCCUACGGGAGGCAGCAGUGGGGAAUAUUGGACAAUGGGCGAAAGCCUGAUCCAGCCAUGCCGCGUGUGUGAAGAAGGUCUUCGGAUUGUAAAGCUACUUUAAGUUGGGGAGGAAGGGCAGUAAGUUAAUACCUUGCUGUUUUGACGUUACCAACAGAAUAAGCACCGGCUAACUUCGUGCCAGCAGCCGCGGUAAUACGAAGGGUGCAAGCGUUAAUCGGAAUUACUGGGCGUAAAGCGCGCGUAGGUGGGUUCAGCAAGUUGGAUGUGAAAUCCCCCGGGCUCAACCUGGGAACUGCAAUCCAAAACUACUGAGCUAGAGUACGGUAGAGGGUGGUGG